UGACAGGGGGCACCUNAUCCAUCAUGCCGCGUGAGUGAAGAAGGCCUUCGGGUUGUAAAGCUCUUUUGUCAGGGAAGAAACACCGGCUCUAACACAGUCCGGGAAUGACGGUACCUGAAGAAUAAGCACCGGCUAACUACGUGCCAGCAGCCGCGGUAAUACGUAGGGUGCGAGCGUUAAUCGGAAUUACUGGGCGUAAAGCGUGCGCAGGCGGUUAUACAAGACAGGCGUGAAAUCCCCGGGCUUAACCUGGGAAUGGCGCCUGUGACUGUAUAGCUAGAGUGUGUCAGAGGGGGGUAGAAUUCCACGUGUAGCAGUGAAAUGCAUAGAUAUGUGGAGGAAUACCAAUGGCGAAGGCAGCCCCCUGGGAUAACACUGACGCUCAUGCACGAAAGCGUGGGGAGCAAACAGGAUUAGAUACCCUGGUAGUCCACGCCCUAAACGAUGCUGACUAGUUGUUCGGGAUUUACAUCCUGAGUAACGUAGCUAACGCGUGAAGUCAGCCGCCUGGGGAGUACGGUCGCAAGAUUAAAACUCAAAGGAAUUGACGGGGACCCGCACAAGCGGUGGAUGAUGUGGAUUAAUUCGAUGCAACGCGAAAAACCUUACCUACCCUUGACAUGUCACUAACGAAGUAGAGAUACAUGAGGUGCUCGUAAGAGAAAGUGA
rnacentral:rRNA from 1 species